rnacentral:snRNA from 1 species
AGAGAAUGGCUUGUGCCCGGGAGGCAGAGGUUGCAGUGAGUCAAGAUUGAACCACUCCACUCCAGCCUGGGUGACAGAA